GUGGCUCCCCGGCCGGUUGGAGGCCUAGCAGGACACUGGGCUGCGGGCCGGGGGUCAAUGGUGGCGGGCAGCCGGGGCCCCGGGCUCGGGAGCUGUGGCGGCAGCCGCAGGCCGGGGCGCUCCCCCGGGAUGCCCAGAGCACGCGGGGGCGGGGUUCGGCGCCUCUGGCUGCCAGACGUCCCCAAUAUGGUCUGAGGCGCUUCCAAGCCACCUCCCUGGCUUCGGGAGUUUUCUCUGCAGUUCUCUGCCCGCCCCUUUGCGGCCCAGAUCCCAGUCGCCGCGGCCUGCGUGGAACUCUGCGCGAGCUGAAUCUCCUGCUGCAGGACGAGCCCCGACCCCGAGCCCGAUCCCCUCCGCGGUCCCAGCCUCUUUGUCCGAUCGCAUUUUCCAUCUCCUCUGCCAGGAAUGCUCUCCCAACCAGAGCAAAUCCAGAUGUCCCCUCGGCGACUGUGGGCACCCUCCCCAGCUGUGGAGCCUUCGCACGCCUUCCUCAGAGUCCGUGGUUGUAAAAUUUGUUUUGCUCUAAAGUAUUUGACUGUCUCCCUCACUAGAUCCUGAGGGUUUUAGUGAGUGCCUCAGUGUGAGCACAUGCAGGCACUGCUAGGCGCCUGUAGUUGAUUCUUAGUUAAUACAAGUGAAUAAUCACAACUAGACCUUAAAUUGCAGGGACUAUGUGACAGGCACUUUUUAAAAUGCUUUAUACGUGUUGAUUUAAGUGUAAUCGUCACAAGAACCCUGCGAGGAAGAUAGGACAGCAAGUGCCCUGUUCCUGUUUGUAAACGUGCCCGACACUCUGCAACAACACCUACAACAGAACCGUGCUAGUUUUGGGGGUUCGCAAUAAAAGUUUCUGUUUGAACGGAUCCUAGAGUGUGCAGGGACACAGCAAUGGAAGACCUGGUCCCUUUGUCUGUACUUAGUCUAUAGCCAGUUCAUUGUGAGAAAUUUCUUUAGAUCGACACCUGCCACUGUUAGUCCGGGUUUCCCAGUCUGUCCUUUCUAACUCCCUUCCUGCCUUACCCCCUAAAAAGCUACCUCCCCUCUUCCCACUCCUGAUAAUGAACACUAUGUACUUUCCACGUUCAAAGCAUGCCACACUCCCUCUCUCCCUCACCUUGGCCUCCCUAACCCAGGCUUGUCCUAGUGAAAUCACUUGCAAAGCCUGCUAACCCUUUCAACUUGCUGUGUUUUCUCCAUCAAACACAAUUUUCAUCAAACAUCCCCCAGGAGCACCUUAAAUGACUUCCUUUUGCCUAGGUUCUGAUUUAGCUUUCUCAAUAAGGACCUCAAAGUCAAGUUCCUAGUGCCACACUAACUCUCUACCCAGAAGAGGCGAUAGGUUUUAGUUUGGGGGUGGGGGGUGGGGGUAGGGGAGGAUGAUUUACUUCCCCAUCCUUCUGAAACUUCCUCACAGGAACCUUUUCCUUCUUUGGGCUUUUCGUCCCCAUUUUUCUCCAACUGUCUGUUUUUCUUUCUGAACUUGGCUGUUCACCGUUGAGCCUUUUACUCUGCCUUACAUGGUCACCUAACUUUGGGCCUAUACUGUAUUUGGCCCUUUCAAACUGUAGUUUCAUGUGAAGCAGCAACUUUGUGUUGUCUUGCAUUGUUUUGUAUCUUCCACAACAUCAGAUAUAGGACUAUGCACAUAGUACAUGUUCAGUAAAGUAUUUCUAAAUGAUCGAACAAUUUCUCCAAGUGAAGAAAUUGAAGGAAAAAUAGAUCAGCUAAACCAGUUAGACCCGUAGGGUACCAAGCAGAAGCAAAUGUUAAACUGCACAAUAGCUGUAUUUCUACAACUCAGGGCUCACAGAGACUCCAAGAGGAAGAAAAAAAGAAUCCUCACAAUAAAAAAUGUAUGAGCCGCUCAAAGAAACGUGCCAUCAUGAGAGAGAAUGGGCAAAACAGGAAGAACUUGAGAUAAUAGAACCAUCUCAAAGAAAAUUAAAAGGAAAGAAGUAGGUUUCAAAUGAAGGCAAAGAUAAAUAAUAGGAAGUACUAGUAAAAAGAACAGGAAUUGUAAAGGAAAAAAAAAAACAGGUGUAUUUGAAAAGGUGCCAAACAGAACAUCUAGAAAUGAAAAGUAUACU
rnacentral:lncRNA from 1 species